rnacentral:rRNA from 1 species
UACGUAGGUGGCAAGCGUUAAUCGGAAUUACUGGGCGUAAAGCGCGCGUAGGUGGUUCAGCAAGUUGGAUGUGAAAUCCCCGGGCUCAACCUGGGAACUGCAUCCAAAACUACUGAGCUAGAGUACGGUAGAGGGUGGUGGAAUUUCCUGUGUAGCGGUGAAAUGCGUAGAUAUAGGAAGGAACACCAGUGGCGAAGGCGACCACCUGGACUGAUACUGACACUGAGGUGCGAAAGCGUGGGGAGCAAACAGG